AACAACUGCAGAUGUGCCGCCCUCAGAGCUGUAGCACAGUGAACGUCUGCGGCUUCGCUCCUGAAGCCAGCGAGAUCACGAACCCACCAGAAGACAAAAUCUCUGAACACGUCCGAACAUUAGAAGGAAUGGACUCCGGACACGCCUUUUUUUUUUUUUUUUGAGACAGUGUUUUUCUCUGUCGCCCAGGCUGGAGUGUAGUGCAAUCUCGACUCACUGCAAGCUCUGCCUCUCGGGUUCAUGCCAUUCUCCUGCCUCAGCCUCCAGAGCAGCUGGGACUACAGGCGCCCGCUGCCACGCCCGGCUGAAUUUUUUUGUAUUUUUAGUGGAGACGGGGUCUCACGGUGUUAGCCAGGAUGGUCUCGAUCUUCUCAUCUGCCCGCCUGGGCCUCCCAAAGUGCGGGGAUUACAGGCGUGAACCACCGUGCCCAGCCACUCUUUAAGAACUGUAGCAGUCACCGCGAGGGUCCGCGGCUUCAUUCUGGAAGCCAUUGAGACUGAGAACCCGCCAAUUCCGGACACAAUUUCAUAGUACAUCAGUAUGGUCCAAUACAGGUACCUCCUCAGGAAACUCUGAAAAAGAAGAAGUAGAAA
rnacentral:lncRNA from 1 species